rnacentral:rRNA from 1 species
AACGAACGCUGGCGGCGUGCCUAAUACAUGCAAGUCGAGCGAGAAAGUGGCUUCGGUCAUGAGUAAAGCGGCAGACGGGUGAGUAAUACAUAGGUAACCUUCCCUCAAGAUGAGGACAACCUUCCGAAAGGAGGGCUAAUACUGAAUGAGACCACAGUGACACAAGUCACAGGGGUUAAAGACGGCCUCUAUUUAUAAGCUUUCGCUUGAGGAUGGGCUUAUGCACCAUUAGCUAGUUGGUAGGGUAAUGGCCUACCAAGGCUUCGAUGGUUAGCUGAUCUGAGAGGUUGAUCAGCCACACUGGAACUGAGACACGGUCCAGACUCCUACGGGAGGCAGCAGUAGGGAAUAUUGCGCAAUGGAGGAAACUCUGACGCAGCGACGCCGCGUGGGUGACGAAGGUCUUCGGAUCGUAAAGCCCUGUCGGAGGGGACGAAAGACACCAAGAUAAUACCUUAGGUGGGAUGACGGUACCCUUAAAGGAAGCACCGGCUAACUACGUGCCAGCA